rnacentral:rRNA from 1 species
UACGUAGGGGGCAAGCGUUGUCCGGAUUCAUUGGGCGUAAAGAGCGUGUAGGCGGCCAGGUAGGUCGGUUGUGAAAACUGGAGGCUCAACCUUCAGAGGUCGACCGAAACCAUCUGGCUAGAGUCCGGGAGAGGAGAGUGGAAUUCCUGGUGUAGCGGUGAAAUGCGCAGAUAUCAGGAAGAACACCCGUGGCGAAAGCGGUGAUCUGGGCCGACACUGACGCUGUAGAGCGAAAGCGUGGGGAGCGAACAGG